rnacentral:rRNA from 1 species
GAAUCUUGGGAAUGGGCGAAAGCCUGACCCAGCAACGCCGCGUGGGCGAUGAAGGCCUUCGGGUCGUAAAGCCCUUUUGUGGGGGAAGAUGAUGACGGUACCCCGCGAAUAAGCCACGGCUAACUACGUGCCAGCCGCCGCGGUAAUACGUAGGUGGCAAGCGUUGUCCGGAUUUACUGGGCGUAAAGGGCGUGCAGGCGGUCUGUUAAGUCUAGGGUGAAAGCUCCCGGCUCAACUGGGAGAGGUCCUUGGAUACUGGCGGACUCGAGGGAGGCAGAGGAGAAUAGAAUUCCCGGUGUAGUGGUGAUAUGCGUAGAUAUCGGGAGGAAUACCAGUGGCGAAGGCGGUUCUCUGGGCCUUACCUGACGCUGAGACGCGAAAGCGUGGGGAGCGAACCGG